UCGGCACCAGCUUGACCUCAUCGUGGUGAAGGGGUGGCAACAGUUAGGACACAUUGUCCAUACUGGCUAACAAAGCUGUGGGCAAUAUGUUUACUUCACACAGAGUUGCAGCACUGUUUAAUAUCAAACUGGAAGUGACUAGUUCUUUGUGGACAAUAUCAACAGUACAAGGAAGUUGAUGUUAGGGUGGAUCUUAUUAUGGUUCUUAUUACUGAUCCAAUAUCACUGACAGUACACCAUGUAUCAAAAGGAGAAACAUUGCACAAGCACAUAGGACAAGCAGAGCACUAAAUAUUAUUAUUUGUAUA